CAAAUCCCAAUGGCCGUAGAAACUGAAACGCCGUCGUCCGCGGGGCCGGCGUCGUCUUCGUCGUCGUCAACAACCUCACAUCAACAAUCCUCCACUACGUCGUCAACAACCUCACAUCAGCCAUCCUCUACUACAUCUCCGCCUGAGCCCAGUCUCAAGCAACCCCAGGUUUUACGAAUUUUCUGUUAAUUUUCAUAAUUGUAUUACCUUUUUUUCUAUUUUGAUUACGUUAUUAUAAGCCAACUGGAGAUCGCGUUGUCUGUUUUAUCUUCUAUUUAAUGUAAUCAUGG
rnacentral:lncRNA from 1 species